CAGCCGCCACGGUAAUACGUAGGGUGCAAGCGUUAAUCGGAAUUACUGGGCGUAAAGCGUGCGCAGGCGGUUUUGUAAGUCUGUCGUGAAAUCCCCGGGCUCAACCUGGGAAUGGCAGUGGAUACUGGCAAGCUAGAGUGUGUCGGAGGAUGGUGGAAUUCCCGGUGUAGCGGUGAAAUGCGUAGAGAUCGGGAGGAACAUCAGUGGCGAAGGCGGCCAUCUGGGACAACACUGACGCUGAGGCACGAAAGCGUGGGGAGCAAACAGGAUUAGAUACCCCUGUAGUCCCUGUCUCUUAUAC
rnacentral:rRNA from 1 species